UGCUAUUAAUCUGACAUAUGUUCACCAUAUCGCAGCGUUAGCCUGUGGGGAAAUGGCUGAAGAAUAUUUGGACAGUAAAAGUUUGGAGCAGUGAGGACAUGCAACUCCCUGGAGUGUCUUCACCUGAAGACGUACCUUGGCAGACCACGUAGGACCACAUUUGGGUGGCGGCAGAUAUGGAUUCCAGUCCACAUCUGUAGAGAAGGAAGGGGCUUAUGGGCUCCUGCGUAUCGGGGAAGCAUACUUAUGUCUAGCAUAUAGGAACCAGCCGUUUAUUCUCAAGUAAUGGUACCCAAGCCACUGGAAAUAUUUGUAUUGCUUUGAGGGGCUCAUAUCUUUUGUUAUGUUUUGCCCUGAUUUGUGAAAUGGUAGUUUUCAGCAAACAAAUGAUUUGCUAACCAAAAAAUAAAAAUAGAGCU
rnacentral:lncRNA from 1 species